GAAAGGAGAAGGAAGCUGACAGGCAGUGAGAUGGGCUAAAGAAGAGAGUUGAGGCAAACUGCUUACCUGAUCUAAGAAUGUCAUUAUGUUGACUGUUACCUAUGACCAGCAUCUGAGAAAGCCAUCUCACAAAGACUCUCUAUAACCAAGAAAUUAAUACAGAGCCUUCACCACUGAAAGCACACAGAGUUGAAGCCAGGCUAUACAAGAAGCAUGACAACAACCAGCAU